GCGAGGGUGGUGGAACUGGUAGACACGCUGGAUUUAGGAUCCAGUGGGUAAUUCCAUGCGGGUUCGACUCCCGCCCUUCGCA
rfam:Candidatus Atribacteria bacterium RBG_19FT_COMBO_35_14 rbg_19ft_combo_scaffold_3444, whole genome shotgun sequence.